GAUGAACGCUGGCGGCGUGCCUAAUACAUGCAAGUCGAGCGAACAGAUGAGGAGCUUGCUCCUCUGACGUUAGCGGCGGACGGGUGAGUAACACGUGGAUAACCUACCUAUAAGACUGGGAUAACUUCGGGAAACCGGAGCUAAUACCGGAUAAUAUAUUGAACCGCAUGGUUCAAUAGUGAAAGACGGUUUUGCUGUCACUUAUAGAUGGAUCCGCGCCGCAUUAGCUAGUUGGUAAGGUAACGGCUUACAAAGGCAACGAUGCGUAGCCGACCUGAGAGGGUGAUCGGCCACACUGGAACUGAGACACGGUCCAGACUCCUACGGGAGGCAGCAGUAGGGAAUCUUCCGCAAUGGGCGAAAGCUUGACGGAGCAACGCCGCGUGAGUGAUGAAGGUCUUCGGAUCGUAAAACUCUGUUAUUAGGGAAGAACAAAUGUGUAAGUAACUAUGCACGUCUUGACGGUACCUAAUCAGAAAGCCACGGCUAACUACGUG
rnacentral:rRNA from 1 species